rnacentral:lncRNA from 1 species
ACCAAUCCUCCCGCACUGAAGCGGAGCAAAUAGGAGAGCGGCGACUAGGCGGCGGAGCGGAGCUGAGAGCGGCGGCGGGACGGAGCAGGGGGCGGAACAAAGCCCCCGGGAUCCCUCGGCUCCAGUCUGGAGACACAGCGCCCCCGUGCCCCGGGACCCCCGGGCAGGGAGGGAUGCAGGUGUGUGGGUGCGAGUGCGUGCGCAGCGAGUCCCUCCCCCGCGCCCCCGAAACCCAGUGUGCAGUCUCCCCCACCGCCCCCCCCCAAUCCUUCCAUCCCUAAGUGGCUCUCACCGGAGCGAGGAUCGAAGGUGACCACGAACACGGCCACCACCUGGUCCUCCUCUACGUCGCCUAGCUCUAGGCGCCCCGGCUGCAGCAGCACUUCGGGGGGAGCUGGCUCGUCGGGUUCCCGCCUUCGGGGCGCCUCCGCGGCCACUCGGCCCUCCCCACUGCCGCCCCGGACCCAUCCUCCAGCUUGCAGCGCGGGGUCCUGCGGCACAGAGACCGCGGGGCCCUCGGCCCAGCGCAGCAGCGGCGCCGCGUCUCCCUGCUCCACCAUGGCGAGGCGAGGCGGAGCCGGGGCGCGAGGGGCGGGGCAGGCUGCGGGCACUCCCCUCCGGGCCUGCCCGCCCUGCCGCUUUCUGCGGUGCGGAGGCUCUCUGGGUGCCCGCUGGGCUUGGCCACACCUGCCCCUGCUCGGACACCAGCGCACUUGCUUGGUCCCGGAGCUCUGGAAGGUGGCCCGCACGGGUUCAGCGCCCCGUGGCCUGGUCCGGGCUUCAGCUCUGCAUCUCUGUAUGUGGGUGCUCUUGAUCCAUAGUGUAGGGUGCAGGACGCGCAUCCCUUAGUCUGUCACCUGCGCGUGGGUUGAAGAGCCUUCCCAACUAGGAUUCCACUGUGAAUUUUUGAACGUCACCAUUAUGGAGCGGAGCACAUAUAUUAUAUAAUCCCGAGAGCUUGGUGAAAACUGCCUCCAAGUCAGGAAGUGAAGCAGAGGACAUCCCAAGUGUUUCAAAUACACACACAAAUCAAGAUCAAAAGGACUGUAAGGUUGCCAUUGGGCAUUUAACUUUAUUUAUAUAACAGGCUGGUCGAGAUAGUGAUCAUUAAUUUAUUUCCUUGCAUAUAUGCAGUUUGGAGAUAUUAAGCUGGAGGGCUGGGGUGGGGGUGGGGGGCAUUCUACAUUAAAAUAAGCAGGAAAAAGUGAGUAGGAAAGCAGCCCUUAAGCCUGUCUGUGGCUUUGGUAAGUAAGGAUUGCCAAUGAAUUCCCUCUGAAUAUUUACAAAUAAAAAUUUGAAUUUCUCAGUUCUUGGAAGGGGGUAAAUCUGGUGACUAACUUAGAGGUAUGCAUAAGAAAUAUCCAUUAAAAUUAUGAAAAAAAUAAGAUAGCAAGAGACAAUUAUUUUUAGAUAGAAUUCACCUCAUGUUUCUGACAAGGACUUGGUAAAAUUUUUGUGUUACCUGUUAACUCCAGGGACUUUGUGAAGCCCAGGUCUCCCUGCUUUGAUCCUGUUCCCAAGAGGAUCAUCAAUGACUGCCUACCCACAGCUGCUGCUAGUUCCAAAUAUGUGACUCACGCCUUAACAGUAAAACGUUUUACC